UUGAAGGAACUAGAUACUGUUCCGAAAUAUCACUUACUCGAACCGUCCUGACCGCGUAGCUCAGUUGGAAGAGCAUUGGGCUAGUAUUCCAAAAGUCGUAGGUUCGAAUCCCACCGUGGCCGGGCAUAUUUUUCAAGCUCGCCCGGUGUGGAUAUGCACUCAGAUAACAUGGCAAACAUAUUAUUCACCUGAGUACAGAACACCAACACAGAGAAGAAAAAAAUUCAUAUUACUAGAACAUAUUGGUAUUGAAGGAACUAGAUACUGUUCCGAAAUAUCACUUACUCGAACCGUCCUGACCGCGUAGCUCGGUUGGAAGAGCAUUGGGCUAGUAUUCCAAAGGUCGUAGGUUCGAAUCUCACCGUGGCCGGGCAUAUUUUUCAAGCUCGCCCGGUGUGGAUAUGCACUCAGAGUAACAUCGCAAACAUAUUAUUCACCUGAGUACACAACACCAACACAGAAAAAAAAAAAAUUCAUAUUACAAGAACACAUUGGUAUUGAAGGAACUAGAUACUGUUCUGAAAUAUCACUUACUCGAACCGUCCUGACCGCGUAGCUCAGUUGGAAGAGCAUUGGGCUAGUAUUCCAAAGGUCGUAG
rnacentral:lncRNA from 1 species